UGGCCGCAGUAUUUUGACUGUGCAAAGGUAGCAUAAUCAUUAGUCUUUUAAUUGGAGGCUUGUAUGAAUGGUUGGACGAAGUAUAAACUGUUUCAUAAAAAUUUAUUAUAAAAUUUUAUAUUUUAGUAAAAAAGCUAAAAUUUUAUUAAAAGACGAGAAGACCCUAUAAAUCUUUAUAUUUAAAAUUUAAUUUAAUUUUUUAAAUUAAUUUAAUUAAAUUGAAUUUAAAUAUUUUAUUGGGGUGAUAUUAAAAUUUAAAAAACUUUUAAUUUAAAAUAAACAUUAAUUUAUGUUUUAUUGAUCUAUUAAUAAUGAUUAUAAGAAUAAGUUACUUUAGGGAUAACAGCGUAAUUUUUUUNGAGAGUCUUAUUAUUNNNAAAGUUUGCGNCNNCCANGUUGGAUAAGAAAUAANUUUAGUGUAGAAGCUUAAAAAUUAAGUCUGUUCGACUUUUAAUUUCUUACAUGAUCUGAGUUCAGACCGGCGUAAGCCAGGUUGGUUUCUAUCUUUAAUUUUUUUUAAUAUUUUAGUACGAAAGGCCCAAAUAUUAAAUUUAUAAAAAUGGUAAUUUUUGAAAAUAAUUAAAAUU
rnacentral:rRNA from 1 species